UUCUAUAUGUUACUAUAAUAGAGGUUCUUCAGACUCUUACUGACACUAUUUUCCAGAGAACAAAAGGGAAACUAUACUGUUCUAGGACACCUGUUUCCUUUGUAAUUUUUCUGUUCAAGGAUUUCUUUUGGAGACAUGGGUCAUUUGACCUCAAACUGAGAAUAUGCUUAAGGUUCUUUGGGAAUUCAAAGUAGAAUCAGCUUUAUCUCCCAGCUUUGAAGAUGCAAGUUUUUGACUGCUGUUCAUUGUUUACUGGCUAUGGAGGGAUAGAGAGUGUACCUGUAAAGGGAAGACAUGGGUCCUCUUAUGUCCAACAUGAAGACAUUUUCUUUGUAUCAAGCUUACUUUAAGUCAUUAGCUUUGAGAACCUAGCAUAAGUCAUUGUUUCAGAAGGUGCAGGUUUGCAUAAUGGUGAUUUCUUUCUCCUCUAAGAUUCUUGGUCACCAUCAGAGGGUUUUUUAUUUGUCUUCUGAUCAUGAUCCUAUGCCUCACAGUGUGAGAAGUCACAAAGAUGCCUAUUUUGGAGAUAAGCAUUUCCUUACAUUUUAGUAUAUUAAAGAAUAUCUUAUUGAAAUACUCAGAAUCUAAAAACUAUAUAUUCUUUGCUAUCUUAUUCUUAAAGGAAUCGUUUUUAAAAUUAUUAAUAGAAUAAUGAAAUCUGACCCUUAUUGACAGCCUUGAUUAAAGUGGCCCCUCUCACCUGCUCAUAAACAUUGUUCCAAAAGCCAGGUCUUCUUAAGCUUUUACAAAUACCAGGCUUUGAAUAGCUAAGCUC